rnacentral:lncRNA from 1 species
AUGAUUGGCUUCUGAUGUCGACACAUGUCGCGUUGUGAUUGGCCUCCUGGUUGGAGGGAAACUCUUCUGGGUCCUUGACAGUAUAACGUUGACCGGUGCUCAGUAGUUUCAGGAUUUGUCAAGUAUGGUAGAAACAGUGCUCCCCUAAGUUCCCGAGUGAGGGAAGCUCCUCGGUUGAGGACUUGCAAGAUCCAAGCCAUUGAGUAAUCACGAAACUUCUAAGUACCGAAGUAUGGUAUCAUUUUCAUUUGCCUUAUCUGUCUCAUAUGUAGAUGUGGCAUCUUCUCUGGAAGUACUUUUCCUCCAUCC